rnacentral:rRNA from 1 species
AGGAUGAACGCUGGCGGCGUGCCUAAUACAUGCAAGUCGAGCGGUAAGGCCUCUUCGGAGGUACACGAGCGGCGGACGGCUGAGUAACACGUAGGAACGUACCCCAAAGUGAGGCAUAAGCACCAGAAAUGGUGUCUAAUACCGCAUGUGCUCUAAGGAGUAAAGCUUCGGCGCUUUGGGAACGGCCUGCGCAUGAUUAGCUUGUUGGUGAGGUAAAAGCUCACCAAGGCGACGAUCAUUAGCUGGUCUGAGAGGAUGACCAGCCAGACUGGGACUGAGAACGGCCCAGACUCCUACGGGAGGCAGCAGUAGGGAAUUUUCCACAAUGGGCGAAAGCCUGAUGGAGCAACGCCGCGUGCAGGAUGAAUGCCUUCGGGUUGUAAACUGCUUUUAUAUGUGACGAAUAUGACGGUAGCAUAUAGAAUAAGGAUCGGCUAACUCCGCGCCAGCAGCCGCGGU